AUGAACGCUGGCGGCGUGCCUCAUCCAUGCCAGUCGAGCGAACGGACGAGAAGCUUGCUUCUCUGAUGUUAGCGGCGGACGGGUGAGUAACACGUGGAUAACCUACCUAUAAGACUGGGAUAACUUCGGGAAACCGGAGCUAAUACCGGAUAAUAUUUUGAACCGCAUGGUUCAAAAGUGAAAGACGGUCUUGCUGUCACUUAUAGAUGGAUCCGCGCUGCAUUAGCUAGUUGGUAAGGUAACGGCUUACCAAGGCAACGAUGCAUAGCCGACCUGAGAGGGUGAUCGGCCACACUGGAACUGAGACACGGUCCAGACUCCUACGGGAGGCAGCAGUAGGGAAUCUUCCGCAAUGGGCGAAAGCCUGACGGAGCAACGCCGCGUGAGUGAUGAAGGUCUUCGGAUCGUAAAACUCUGCUAUUAGGGAAGAACAUAUGUGUAAGUAACUGUGCACAUCUUGACGGUACCUAAUCAGAAAGCCACGGCUAACUACGUG
rnacentral:rRNA from 1 species